GUCCAGACUCCUACGGGAGGCAGCAGUGGGGAAUAUUGCACAAUGGGGGGAACCCUGAUGCAGCGACGCCGCGUGAGGGAAGAAGGUUUUUGGAUUGUAAACCUCUGUCCUUGGUAAAGAAGCAAGACGGUAGCCAAGGAGGAAGCCACGGCUAACUACGUGCCAGCAGCCGCGGUAAUACGUAGGGGGCGAGCGUUGUCCGGAAUCACUGGGCGUAAAGGGAGCGUAGGCGGCGCGUUAAGUCUGAUGUGAAAACCCGAGGCUCAACCACGGGAGUGCAUUGGAAACUGGCGGGCUGGAGUGCCGGAGAGGUAAGCGGAAUUCCUAGUGUAGCGGUGAAGUGCGUAGAUAUUAGGAGGAACACCAGUGGCGAAGGCGGCUUACUGGACGGCAACUGACGCUGAGGCUCGAAAGCGUGGGGAGCAAACAGGAUUAGAUACCCCCGUACA
rnacentral:rRNA from 1 species